UGGGGAAUAUUGCACAAUGGGCGAAAGCCUGAUGCAGCAACGCCGCGUGAGGGACGACGGCCUUCGGGUUGUAAACCUCUUUUAGCAAGGAAGAAGCGAAAGUGACGGUACUUGCAGAAAAACGCGCCGGCUAACUACGUGCCAGCAGCCGCGGUAAUACGUAGGGCGCAAGCGUUAUCCGGAAUUAUUGGGCGUAAAGAGCUCGUAGGCGGUUUGUCGCGUCUGCUGUGAAAACCCGAGGCUCAACCUCGGGCCUGCAGUGGGUACGGGCAGACUAGAGUGCGGUAGGGGAGAUUGGAACUCCUGGUGUAGCGGUGGAAUGCGCAGAUAUCAGGAAGAACACCGAUGGCGAAGGCAGAUCUCUGGGCCCGUAACUGACGCUGAGGAGCGAAACGGGUGGGGNGCAAACAGGCUUAGAUACCCUGGUAGUCACCCCGUAAACGUUGGGACUAGUUGUGGGGUCCAUUCCACGGAUUCCGUGACGCAG
rnacentral:rRNA from 1 species